AUUCCUCUUCUCUUUUUAAAGGGUCUGCAUGAAAGUAAAAAAAUCGCAAAAGACGUUAGUAAAAUAUAAUUAGAGAUAACAGUGAUUGGACUCGGAGCAAGAACAGUACUGCAGUACUAUUCACGAAUUUCGUAACUGAAAAUUCGGAUGCAACGUGGGAAAUCAGAUCACGCGGAAAAUCAGGAAGAUUCUGCUAACGCCUUUACGGUGGACCAUCCGAUCCCGCGAUUUCCACCUGUGACGACGACGUAUUCCUUUUCUCUGUUUAUGGGACCUCACAUUUCAGAAAUCAAACUACAGCUGCCGAGGAUUAGCAUUUUUAAAAAUAUGUAGAAAUCC